rnacentral:rRNA from 1 species
GAGUUUGAUCAUGGCUCAGGAUGAACGCUAGCGGCAGGCUUAAUACAUGCAAGUCGGACGGGAUUCAGGAGCUUGCUUCUGAUGAGAGUGGCGCACGGGUGCGUAACACGUAUGUAACCUACCUUGUUCAGGGGGAUAGCCUCUCGAAAGAGAGAUUAAGACCGCAUAAAAUCACAAUGUGGCAUCACAAAAUGAUCAAAUAUUUAUAGGAACAAGAUGGGCAUGCGGAACAUUAGCUAGUUGGUAAGGUAACGGCUUACCAAGGCUACGAUGUUUAGGGGAUCUGAGAGGAUGACCCCCCACACUGGUACUGAGACACGGACCAGACUCCUACGGGAGGCAGCAGUAAGGAAUAUUGGUCAAUGGGCGGAAGCCUGAACCAGCCAUGCCGCGUGCAGGAAGACGGCCCUACGGGUUGUAAACUGCUUUUACAGGGGAAUAAACCUCAUUACGUGUAAUGAGCUGAAUGUACUCUGAGAAUAAGGAUCGGCUAACUCCGUGCCAGCAGCCGCGGUAAUACGGAGGAUCCAAGCGUUAUCCGGAUUUAUUGGGUUUAAAGGGUGCGUAGGUGGCCUGUUAAGUCAGGGGUGAAAGACGGUAGCUCAACUAUCGCAGUGCCCUUGAUACUGAUGGGCUUGAAUGAACUAGAGGUAGGCGGAAUGUGACAAGUAGCGGUGAAAUGCAUAGAUAUGUCACAGAACACCAAUUGCGAAGGCAGCUUACUAUGGUUUUAUUGACACUGAGGCACGAAAGCGUGGGGAUCAAACAGGAUUAGAUACCCUGGUAGUCCACGCCCUAAACGAUGAAUACUCGAUGUUGGCGAUAUACGGUCAGCGUCUAAGCGAAAGCGUUAAGUAUUCCACCUGGGGAGUACGCCCGCAAGGGUGAAACUCAAAGGAAUUGACGGGGGCCCGCACAAGCGGAGGAGCAUGUGGUUUAAUUCGAUGAUACGCGAGGAACCUUACCCGGGCUUGAAAGUUAGUGAAUAAAGCAGAGACGCUUUAGUCCUUCGGGACACGAAACUAGGUGCUGCAUGGCUGUCGUCAG